UUUAAAGCAAUUAAGGGCGUAUGGUGGAUGCCUUGGGUCUGAGAGGCGAUGAAGGACGUGGUAAGCUGCGAUAAGCUUCGGGGAGCUGCACACAAGCGUUAUAUCCGAAGAUUUCCGAAUGGGACAACCUAAUACUUUGAAGAAGUAUUAUUUCUACGUAAGUAGAUAAGCCAACCUCCUGAACUGAAACAUCUAAGUAGGGAGAGGAAAAGAAAAUAAUAAUGAUUCCCUGAGUAGUGGCGAGCGAAACGGGAAUAGCCCAAACCAUGGCGGCGUGCUGCUAUGGGGUUGUAGGGCCGCAUUUAGAAAUUAAUAUCAAACUGAACCUUCUGGAAAGUUGGGCCAUAGCGGGUGAUAGCCCCGUAAGUACAAAUUAUUAGUAACGAGCGGUACCCUGAGUAAGGCGGGACCGGAGAAAUCCUGCCUGAAUCUACCGGCACCAUCCGGUAAGGCUAAAUACUCCUCAGACACCGAUAGUGAACCAGUACCGUAAGGGAAAGGUGAAAAGCACCCUAAACAAGGGAGUGAAAUAGUACCUGAAACCGUACGCUUACAAGCGGUCGGAGUCUCUACUCACGUGGAGAUGACGGCGUGCCUUUUGCAUAAUGAGCCUACGAGUUACUCCUCACUGGCGAGGUUAAGCUCUUUAGUAGCGGAGCCGUAGCGAAAGCAAGUCCAAAUAGGGCGAUUAGUCAGUGGGGGUAGACGCGAAACUUUGUGAUCUAUCCAUGGGCAGGUUGAAGGUGUGGUAACACACACUGGAGGACCGAACGCGUAAACGUUGAAAAGUUUUGCGAUGACCUGUGGAUAGGGGUGAAAGGCCAAUCAAACUGAGAGAUAGCUCGUUCUCCCCGAAAUGUUUUUAGGAACAGCCUCGGAUUAUAGACGUUUAGUACAGGUAGAGCUACUGAUUGGACUAGGGGGCUUCACCGCCUACCAAAUCCUGACAAACUCCGAAUGGUACUAAAUAUCUCCGGGAGUGAGGCUGCGGGCGAUAAGGUCCGUGGCCGAGAGGGAAAUAACCCAGAUUAGCGACUAAGGUCCCCAAUACAUGGUUAAGUUAAACAAACGAGGUGGGAUUUCUAUAACAGCCAGGAUGUUGGCUUGGAAGCAGCCACUCAUUUAAAGAGUGCGUAACAGCUCACUGGUCGAGAGAUCCUGCACGGAAAAUAAUCGGGUAUCAAACCAUGAACCGAAGUUCUAAGAUUGCUACUAAGUAGUAUAUCGGUAGGGGAGCAUUGAAAUCGGCUGCGAAGGCGACUGGCGAUGGUUGCUGGAGCGAUUUCAAAAGAAAAUGUAGGCAUAAGUAACGAUAAUUAAAGUGAAAAACUUUAACGCCGUAAACCCAAGGUUUCCUGAUCAAUGUUAAUCAGAUCAGGGUUAGUCGGGUCCUUAGACAAACCCGAAAGGGGUAGUUGAUGGAAAGUUGGUUAAUAUUCCAACACCUGCUUUAGAUUCGAUGGGGUGACGGGGUAGUGAAAAGUCCGCGUUCUUACGGAAUAGAACGUUAAAGGGUGUAGAUAUAGGUUGAGUAGGCAAAUCCGCUCGACUUGUCGAACCUGAUAGUACUGCAAAGUUUCGGCAGCGCAGAUAGUGACUCUAAUCAAACCUCCGAGAAAAACCUCUAAGUUAUGUUUAAAGCAGCCCGUACCGUAAACCGACACAGGUGGGUGAGAUGAAUAUUCUAAGGCGCUCGGGUGAGCCUUGGAGAAGGAACUAGGCAAAUUAACGCUGUAACUUCGGGAUAAAGCGUACCUACUUCGGUAGGUCUCAGUAAAAUGGUACAACCAACUGUUUAGCAAAAACACAGGGCCCUGCAAAAUCGUAAGAUGACGUAUAGAGCCUGAUACCUGCCCGGUGCUGGAAGGUUAAGGAAGGGUGUUCGUAGCAAUACAAAGCUCCUGACUGAAGCCCCAGUAAACGGCGGCCGUAACUAUAACGGUCCUAAGGUAGCGAAAUUCCUUGUCGGGUAAGUUCCGACCUGCACGAAUGGUCUAAUGAGUUGUACACUGUCUCCUCCAA
rnacentral:rRNA from 1 species